UACGUAGGGCGCAAGCGUUAUCCGGAAUUAUUGGGCGUAAAGAGCUCGUAGGCGGUUUGUCGCGUCUGCCGUGAAAGUCCGGGGCUCAACUCCGGAUCUGCGGUGGGUACGGGCAGACUAGAGUGAUGUAGGGGAGACUGGAAUUCCUGGUGUAGCGGUGAAAUGCGCAGAUAUCAGGAGGAACACCGAUGGCGAAGGCAGGUCUUUGGGCAUUAACUGGACGCUGAGGAGCGAAAGCAUGGGGAGCGAACAGG
rnacentral:rRNA from 1 species